CCUAAAGUUAGCUAUAUGACUAUGCACUUAAAAUGUUAUUAAUAACACUGUUUACUGCGCCGCAAAUUGUCUUACAUAACAUUACACGACCUAGUAUAUAAAUAUAUGGAGUAGCUGCAAUAAGUAAUUUCCUCUUAGCCGUCGACCACACACGUAUUCAUUAUGAAGCUACUGCUAACUAUAUUUGUUUUCGUAUCAAUAUUUGCCACAAUAUGGUCGGCAAAAGUACCGCGAGUGAAACAAUUGGUAGAUCAAAAGCCACAUUUGAGGUUCAAAAGGCAGUGGUUUGUUGGAAAAAUGAAAUGUCGGUGCCCAGAAAACAUGCUUUUUCUAAGAACGCAGUGCAUAACUUGUGAACAAUACAAAAAGGCUACAGAGGCAGACUCGUGCCCGAUUUGCGAAUAAAAACAU